rnacentral:rRNA from 1 species
UCCGGCCCAGACUCUUACGGGAGGCAGCAGUGGGGAAUUUUGGACAAUGGGCGAAAGCCUGUAUCCAGCAAUGCCCGCGUGUGUGAAAGAAGGCCUUCGGGUUGUAAAGCACUUUUGUCCGGAAAGAAAUCCUUGGUCUUAAUAUGGCCGGGGGAUGACGGUACCGGAAGAAUAAGCACCGGCUAAUUACGUGCCAGCAGCCGCGGUAAUACGUAGGGUGCAAGCGUUAAUCGGAAUUACUGGGCGUAAAGCGUGCGCAGGCGGUUUGUUAAGACCGAUGUGAAAUCCCCGGGCUCAACCUGGGAACUGCAUUGGUGACUGGCAGGCUAGAGUAUGGCAGAGGGGGGUAGAAUUCCACGUGUAGCAGUGAAAUGCGUAGAGAUGUGGAGGAAUACCGAUGGCGAAGGCCGCCCCCUGGGCCCAAUACUGACGCUCAUGCACAAAAGCGUGGGGAGCAAACAGAAUUAGAUACCCUGGUACUCCACGAAAG